rnacentral:rRNA from 1 species
UGCAAGUCGAACGGCAGCACAGAAGAGCUUGCUCUCUGGGUGGCGAGUGGCGGACGGGUGAGGAAUACAUCGGAAUCUACUCUGUCGUGGGGGAUAACGUAGGGAAACUUACGCUAAUACCGCAUACGACCUACGGGUGAAAGCAGGGGAUCUUCGGACCUUGCGCGAUUGAAUGAGCCGAUGUCGGAUUAGCUAGUUGGCGGGGUAAAGGCCCACCACGGCGACGAUCCGUAGCUGGUCUGAGAGGAUGAUCAGCCACACUGGAACUGAGACACGGUCCAGACUCCUACGGGAGGCAGCAGUGGGGAAUAUUGGACAAUGGGCGCAAGCCUGAUCCAGCCAUACCGCGCGGGUGAAGAAGGCCUUCGGGUUGCAAAGCCCUUUUGUUGGGAAAGAAAUCCAGCUGGCUAAUACCCGGCCGGGAUGACUG